GGGUUGUGAGGUUAAGCGACUAAGCGUACACGGUGGAUGCCCUGGCAGUCAGAGGCGAUGAAGGACGUGCUAAUCUGCGAUAAGCGUCGGUAAGGUGAUAUGAACCGUUAUAACCGGCGAUUUCCGAAUGGGGAAACCCAGUGUGAUUCGUCACACUAUCAUUAACUGAAUCCAUAGGUUAAUGAGGCGAACCGGGGGAACUGAAACAUCUAAGUACCCCGAGGAAAAGAAAUCAACCGAGAUUCCCCCAGUAGCGGCGAGCGAACGGGGAGCAGCCCAGAGCCUGAAUCAGUGUGUGUGUUAGUGGAAGCGUCUGGAAAGGCGCGCGAUACAGGGUGACAGCCCCGUACACAAAAAUGCACAUACUGUGAGCUCGAUGAGUAGGGCGGGACACGUGGUAUCCUGUCUGAAUAUGGGGGGACCAUCCUCCAAGGCUAAAUACUCCUGACUGACCGAUAGUGAACCAGUACCGUGAGGGAAAGGCGAAAAGAACCCCGGCGAGGGGAGUGAAAAAGAACCUGAAACCGUGUACGUACAAGCAGUGGGAGCCUCUUUUAUGGGGUGACUGCGUACCUUUUGUAUAAUGGGUCAGCGACUUAUAUUCUGUAGCAAGGUUAACCGAAUAGGGGAGCCGAAGGGAAACCGAGUCUUAACUGGGCGUUAAGUUGCAGGGUAUAGACCCGAAACCCGGUGAUCUAGCCAUGGGCAGGUUGAAGGUUGGGUAACACUAACUGGAGGACCGAACCGACUAAUGUUGAAAAAUUAGCGGAUGACUUGUGGCUGGGGGUGAAAGGCCAAUCAAACCGGGAGAUAGCUGGUUCUCCCCGAAAGCUAUUUAGGUAGCGCCUCGUGAAUUCAUCUCCGGGGGUAGAGCACUGUUUCGGCAAGGGGGUCAUCCCGACUUACCAACCCGAUGCAAACUGCGAAUACCGGAGAAUGUUAUCACGGGAGACACACGGCGGGUGCUAACGUCCGUCGUGAAGAGGGAAACAACCCAGACCGCCAGCUAAGGUCCCAAAGUCAUGGUUAAGUGGGAAACGAUGUGGGAAGGCCCAGACAGCCAGGAUGUUGGCUUAGAAGCAGCCAUCAUUUAAAGAAAGCGUAAUAGCUCACUGGUCGAGUCGGCCUGCGCGGAAGAUGUAACGGGGCUAAACCAUGCACCGAAGCUGCGGCAGCGACACUAUGUGUUGUUGGGUAGGGGAGCGUUCUGUAAGCCUGUGAAGGUGUACUGUGAGGUAUGCUGGAGGUAUCAGAAGUGCGAAUGCUGACAUAAGUAACGAUAAAGCGGGUGAAAAGCCCGCUCGCCGGAAGACCAAGGGUUCCUGUCCAACGUUAAUCGGGGCAGGGUGAGUCGACCCCUAAGGCGAGGCCGAAAGGCGUAGUCGAUGGGAAACAGGUUAAUAUUCCUGUACUUGGUGUUACUGCGAAGGGGGGACGGAGAAGGCUAUGUUGGCCGGGCGACGGUUGUCCCGGUUUAAGCGUGUAGGCUGGUUUUCCAGGCAAAUCCGGAAAAUCAAGGCUGAGGCGUGAUGACGAGGCACUACGGUGCUGAAGCAACAAAUGCCCUGCUUCCAGGAAAAGCCUCUAAGCAUCAGGUAACAUCAAAUCGUACCCCAAACCGACACAGGUGGUCAGGUAGAGAAUACCAAGGCGCUUGAGAGAACUCGGGUGAAGGAACUAGGCAAAAUGGUGCCGUAACUUCGGGAGAAGGCACGCUGAUAUGUAGGUGAAGUCCCUCGCGGAUGGAGCUGAAAUCAGUCGAAGAUACCAGCUGGCUGCAACUGUUUAUUAAAAACACAGCACUGUGCAAACACGAAAGUGGACGUAUACGGUGUGACGCCUGCCCGGUGCCGGAAGGUUAAUUGAUGGGGUCAGCGCAAGCGAAGCUCUUGAUCGAAGCCCCGGUAAACGGCGGCCGUAACUAUAACGGUCCUAAGGUAGCGAAAUUCCUUGUCGGGUAAGUUCCGACCUGCACGAAUGGCGUAAUGAUGGCCAGGCUGUCUCCACCCGAGACUCAGUGAAAUUGAACUCGCUGUGAAGAUGCAGUGUACCCGCGGCAAGACGGAAAGACCCCGUGAACCUUUACUAUAGCUUGACACUGAACAUUGAGCCUUGAUGUGUAGGAUAGGUGGGAGGCUUAGAAGUGUGGACGCCAGUCUGCAUGGAGCCGACCUUGAAAUACCACCCUUUAAUGUUUGAUGUUCUAACGUUGACCCGUAAUCCGGGUUGCGGACAGUGUCUGGUGGGUAGUUUGACUGGGGCGGUCUCCUCCUAAAGAGUAACGGAGGAGCACGAAGGUUGGCUAAUCCUGGUCGGACAUCAGGAGGUUAGUGCAAUGGCAUAAGCCAGCUUGACUGCGAGCGUGACGGCGCGAGCAGGUGCGAAAGCAGGUCAUAGUGAUCCGGUGGUUCUGAAUGGAAGGGCCAUCGCUCAACGGAUAAAAGGUACUCCGGGGAUAACAGGCUGAUACCGCCCAAGAGUUCAUAUCGACGGCGGUGUUUGGCACCUCGAUGUCGGCUCAUCACAUCCUGGGGCUGAAGUAGGUCCCAAGGGUAUGGCUGUUCGCCAUUUAAAGUGGUACGCGAGCUGGGUUUAGAACGUCGUGAGACAGUUCGGUCCCUAUCUGCCGUGGGCGCUGGAGAACUGAGGGGGGCUGCUCCUAGUACGAGAGGACCGGAGUGGACGCAUCACUGGUGUUCGGGUUGUCAUGCCAAUGGCACUGCCCGGUAGCUAAAUGCGGAAGAGAUAAGUGCUGAAAGCAUCUAAGCACGAAACUUGCCCCGAGAUGAGUUCUCCCUGACCCUUUAAGGGUCCUGAAGGAACGUUGAAGACGACGACGUUGAUAGGCCGGGUGUGUAAGCGCAGCGAUGCGUUGAGCUAACCGGUACUAAUGAACCGUGAGGCUUAACCUUACAACGCCGAAGCUGUU
rnacentral:rRNA from 1 species